UGCAUGUCUAUGUUCAAAUAACCUAUAAUGGUGAAACCGCGAACGGCUCAUUAUAACAGCUACAAUGUACUUGAUCUUGAUUAUCCUACGUGGAUAACUGUGGUAAUUCUAGAGCUAAUACAUGCACCAAAGCUCUGACUUUUGGACGAGCGCAUCUAUUAGAUUAAAACCAAUCGGGCUUCAACCCGUCAUUUGGUGACUCUGAAUAGCUAUGGCUGAUCGCAUGGUCUUGUACCGGCGACGUAUCUAUCAAGUGUCUGCCUUAUCAACUUUCGAUGGUAGUUUAUGUGCCUACCAUGGUUGUAACGGGUAACGGAGAAUAAGGGUUCGACUCCGGAGAGGGAGCCUGAGAAACGGCUACCACAUCCAAGGAAGGCAGCAGGCGCGCAAAUUACCCACUCUCGGCAUGAGGAGGUAGUGACGAAAAAUAACGAGACCGUUCUCUUUGAGGCCGGUUAUCGGAAUGGGUACAAUUUAAACCCGUUAACGAGGAUCUAUGAGAGGGCAAGUCUGGUGCCAGCAGCCGCGGUAAUUCCAGCUCUCAAAGUGUAUAUCGUCAUUGCUGCGGUUAAAAAGCUCGUAGUUGGAUCUGCGCCUCAGGACCUGGUCCGUCUUAUGGACGAGAACUGGGCUCCUAGGCUAAUACUGCCGGUUUUCUUUACGUUACCUUCAUCGGUCGCGUAAGGUGGCCGGCGAGUUUACCUUGAAAAAAUUAGAGUGCUCAAAGCGGGCUAAUGCCUGAAUAUUCGUGCAUGGAAUAAUGAAAUAGGAUCUCGGUUCUAUUUUGUUGGUUUUCUGAUCUGAGAUAAUGGUUAAGAGGGACAGACGGGGGCAUUCGUAUCGCUGCGUGAG
rnacentral:rRNA from 1 species